rnacentral:tRNA from 2 species
GGAAAUGUGCCCGAACUUUAAGGGUUACUUUGAUAGAGUAAAUUAUAGAGGUUAAAAUCCACUCAUUUCCU